rnacentral:rRNA from 1 species
CCUACGGGUGGCAGCAGUGAGGAAUAUUGGUCAAUGGGCGCGAGCCUGACCCAGCCACGUAGCGUGAAGGAUGACUGCCCUACGGGUUGUAAACUUCUUUUAUAAAGGAAUAAAGUGAAGCACGUGUGCCUUUUUGUAUAUACCUUAUGAAUAAGGAUCGGCUAACUCCGUGCCAGCAGCCGCGGUAAUACGGAGGAUCAGAGCGUUUUCCGGGUUUAUUGGGUUUAAAGGGAGCGUAGAUGGGUUGUUAAGUCAGUUGUGAAAGUUCGCGGCUCAACCGUAAAAUUGCAAUUGAUACUGGCAGUCUUGAGUACAGUUGAGGUAGUCGGAAUUCGUGGUGUAGCGGUGAAAUGCGUAGAUAUCACGAAGAACUCCGAUUGCGAAGGCAGCUUACUAAACUGCCACUGACAUUGAGGCUCGAAAGUGUGGGUAUCAAACAGGAUUAGAUACCCCUGUAGUC